AGAGUUUGAUCCUGGCUCAGGACGAACGCUGGCGGCGCGCCUAAUGCAUGCAAGUCGAGCGACGCAUAUUCGGUGGGUAACCACUGGGUAUGACGGAGCGGCGAACGGGUGAGUAACACGUGAGUAACCUGCCCCGAAGAUCGGGAUAGCCCGGGGAAACCCGGAUUAAUACCGAAUACCCUCUCUGGAUCGCAUGGUCCGAUGAGGAAAUGCCUUUGUGCUUCGGGAUGGACUCGCGGCCUAUCAGCUUGUUGGUGAGGUAACGGCUCACCAAGGCAACGACGGGUAGCUGGUCUGAGAGGACGAUCAGCCACACUGGGACUGAGACACGGCCCAGACUCCUACGGGAGGCAGCAGCAGGGAAUCUUGUCCAAUGGGCGAAAGCCUGAGACAGCGACGCCGCGUGAGGGAUGAAGGCCUUCGGGUUGUAAACCUCUUUCAGGAGGGACGAAAUUGACGGUACCUCCAGAAGAAGCCCCGGCCAACUACGUGCCAGCAGCCGCGGUAAUACGUAGGGGGCAAGCGUUGUCCGGAUUUAUUGGGCGUAGAGGGCUCGUAGGCGGCUCAACAAGUCAGUCGUGAAAACCCAGGGCUUAACCCUGGGACGCCGGUCGAUACUGUUGUGGCAAGGGUCCGGUAGAGGAGAAUGGAAUUCCCGGUGUAGCGGUGAAAUGCGCAGAUAUCGGGAGGAACACCAGUAGCGAAGGCGGUUCUCUGGGCCGGUACCGACGCUGAGGAGCGAAAGCGUGGGGAGCAAACAGGACUAGAUACCCUGGUAGUCCACGCCGUAAACGUUGGACACUAGGUGUGGCGGAUUUAUCAACGUCUGCUGUGCCGUAGCUAACGCGUU
rnacentral:rRNA from 1 species